AGUGAACGCUGGCGGUAGGCCUAACACAUGCAAGUCGAACGGCAGCACAGUAAGAGCUUGCUCUUACGGGUGGCGAGUGGCGGACGGGUGAGGAAUACAUCGGAAUCUACUUUUUCGUGGGGGAUAACGUAGGGAAACUUACGCUAAUACCGCAUACGACCUACGGGUGAAAGCAGGGGAUCUUCGGACCUUGCGCGAUUGAAUGAGCCGAUGUCGGAUUAGCUAGUUGGCGGGGUAAAGGCCCACCAAGGCGACGAUCCGUAGCUGGUCUGAGAGGAUGAUCAGCCACACUGGAACUGAGACACGGUCCAGACUCCUACGGGAGGCAGCAGUGGGGAAUAUUGGACAAUGGGCGCAAGCCUGAUCCAGCCAUACCGCGUGGGUGAAGAAGGCCUUCGGGUUGUAAAGCCCUUUUGUUGGGAAAGAAAAGCAGCAGGUUAAUACCCCGCUGUUCUGACGGUACCCAAAGAAUAAGCACAGGCUAACUUCGU
rnacentral:rRNA from 1 species